AGAACGAACGCUGGCGGCAUGCCUAAUACAUGCAAGUCGAACGAACUCUUCGGAGUUAGUGGCGCACGGGUGCGUAACGCGUGGGAAUCUGCCCCUUGGUUCGGAAUAACAGUUGGAAACGACUGCUAAUACCGGAUGAUGACGAAAGUCCAAAGAUUUAUCGCCCAGGGAUGAGCCCGCGUAGGAUUAGCUAGUUGGUGAGGUAAAGGCUCACCAAGGCGACGAUCCUUAGCUGGUCUGAGAGGAUGAUCAGCCACACUGGGACUGAGACGACCGGCCAGUACC
rnacentral:rRNA from 1 species